UUUUUUAUUAACCCUUACCCUGCUAAAUUUCUAUAAUGAACUUGUCCAUCGUCCAAUUUGGACAAUACUAUUAACUGUUAAAAGGGGGUGCUUACCAAAAAGAUACUGACUGAAUGUCGAACAGUGAUGGUCUUGAUCAGACUGCAUAGAUGUGCAGGCUGUUCAUGAUCUACACUGGUUGAAAAGGCAGAAUCAAUUCUGUACAGCAUGAUAAGGGUUAACAGAAGGCUAUUUGAUGAGUAAUAAAAUAUAUCUCAUCUCAUUUGUGCUUUCAUUUAAGGGAGACUUUUCGGAAAUUAUUUUUUUAUCAAAAAAUGAUUACAAAUAAGGGGGUUAUGCCUUUAGAGCAUCAGUAAGUUGAUUUCUAACAUCACUGGCCAUGUUUAAAGCAUAAAAAGUGCAGUUUUGCAUCUUUUUGUUAAAAAGUUGAAAAAAAUAUUCUCCAAGGCCAUAAAAACAUUUAGGGUCGGGCCAAAAAUUUAGGGUAGGUCGGGAUACCGGAAACAAACAAUUUUUUUUUUACGCCUAAGAAGUUUGAAUCCAAGUACCAAACAACAUUAGACAUAGAACACUUUAUUUAGAUGUAGUUGGUUUUCAGACACCUUUCCACACACUACAGCCUUUGUGUUAAUUACCUGAUGCAGAAAGUCUACUAGUAUUUUAAAGCUACAUGAGUCAUUUUACCAUUGUUAUAUAACCCAAGAUUUGUUGAUGGUACCUUUAAACUAUAUGUAUAUAAUGUCAGACAUAGUGCUGUAGUAUUAUCAAUCUUUGACACACUUGCUUUCUGAUCAAAUGUCUGGCAGUUUAUUAAACUGAAAUAGAUUAUUUUCGCUAUCUUGUGCAAUAACUUUUUGAGUCUACAUCUAUAGACCUUCUAUGCAUUUGCUAAACAUUCGUUUUUAAAAGUGCCUCUUCUUUUUAUAGUGAAAUGUGUGUGCGGUAGUAACAGUACAGACCAGGAAGUUCAGAAGUGAAGCAGUGCAGGUCUAAAUUGUUCAACAAAGUGUAGAGGGAAACAUAGUGGAAACAUUUCACAAGUUAACAUGACAUCUGCGAAGUUCAUGUACUAGUAACAGGACAGGCCAUGGUGUUCAGAUAUGAAGAGAUCUAUACAGGUCUACAUUGUUCAACACAGUGUAUCAGGGAAACAGAGUGGAUGGCAAGGAUAGAAAACAUUUCACAAUUUUACAAUGAUCAAGUUGCCUGUGAUGAUUGUUCUUGUUGCGGCUCUAGUACCAGCUGAUACGGAAUUCUGUUACAUAGAUGAAAACUGUGAAGUAUCAGUGCAGACCAUGAAGUUCAGAAAUGAAGAGAUGCUGGGUCUAAUUUGUUCAACAAUGUGAUCGAGGGAAACAUGGAUGGCAAGCAUAAAAACAUUUCACAAUUCUUCCCUGAUCAAGUUGCCUGUGAUGGCUGUUCUUGUUGUGGCUCUAGUACCAGCUUAAGCUGAACUCUGUUUUAUAGUUGAAAUCUGUGAAGUAAGAGUACAGAUCAUGAAGUUCAGAUAUGAAGAAAUGCAGGUCUGGAUUGUUCAACACAGUGUAUGAGGGAAACAUAGUGGAUGACAAGCAUAGAAAACAUUUCAUAAUAUCAACUACAUUGGAGCAAAUAAAAGGAGGUUUAGGGACAGCCUGAUAAUUUUUUGAUAACUUGUGGUUGACAACUGUAAAAUAUCAGUUUGAUAUUACCGUGGACAGACCAUCAGGGGAGGUAACUAGAGUCACGGAUUGGGACUAAUGCAGGGGCUGAGCCUAUUAUACCCAAGGUCAAGGUCACCAAGAGAAAUAUAUGAGGAGGGCUUGCUGCUGGAUGCCAUCGCCAAACCAAGAAGUUCAGACUGUUUUGCACAUACUUGCGUUUCUCAAGUAUGGCCUUGAAGGGAUUGUCAUACGAAAAGGGUAGGAAAGAUACAGAAGUAAGGAUAUGAGAAGCCACGGGAAAACAAAGUAAAAAAGCUACAUGUAUACAAAAGAUUCCAGACAUACAGAGCUGUAGAUCUUUGUAGGAUCUUGUUGUGAGGUGUAGGGAGCUGCCAAGCAGAUGGAAUGUAUAAUGUAAGAGACUAAGUAUUGAUGAUUUAAGUUUGCAUUCUUAAACUAGGUUCUAUCAUUAGGUAAAAUGAGAUUAAACAUAGAUGCCACAUAAUGUUUGUUUGACCUGUAGUGCGUUUUCAGGUAUACAGUUCAAGGAUGUGACAUUGUGCAAACCAGAAUAUAAAUACAACAGUGAUUUAACUAGACAUAAAUUUUUUACAUGUAUAUAUAUUUUAGCUUACCUGAGCAUAAAGUGCUGGGGGUGAGCUAUUGUGAUCUCUCACUGUCCGUCAUUCUGUUUCGUCAUUCUGUUAGUUUGUCCGUCCAUCCUUAAUUUUAUGUCCGUUCCAUAACUCUGUCAUUCAUCAAGGGAUUUAAUAUUACUAGAUCAUACACAACACCCAGAUCCCUAGCUCAAAGGUCAAGGUCACAAUUGGAGGUCAAAGGUCAACAAGGCUUUUUUCCUGUCCAGUACAUAACUAUACAUGCCAUCCAUGAAGGGAUUUUUAUAUUACCUGGCACAAAUGUACCCCAUAAUAAGACGAUGUGUCAUGCACAACAUUCAGACCCCUGGCUCAAAGGUCAAGGUCACCCUUGGCAGUCAAAUGUUAACAAUGGCAUGGACAGGGUCUGUUUCGUGUCCGGUCCAGAAAUCUGUUAUCCCUAGAAGGAUUACAAUUUUACUUGGCAUAAAUGUUCUCCAUAAUCAGACGACAUGUCAUGCGCAACACCCAAAACACUAGCUUAAGGGUCAAGGUCACACUUAGAGAUAAAAGUCAAUAGGGUUUUUUUCCUUUCCGGUCCAUAACUUUGUUAAUCAAAACAGGAUUUAAAUCUCAUUUGGGACAAAAUUCACCUGGAUGAGACAACAUGUCGUGCACAAAACCCCAACCCUUAGCUGAAAGGUCAAGGUCACUGUUGGAAGUCAAAGGCCAACAGGGCUUUUUUCCUGUCCAGUCUGUAACUCACUAAUCCUUAAAGGGAUUUUAAUAUUACAGAUUUACCCCAUGACAAGACGAUGUGUCAUGUGCAACACCCAGACCCCUAACUCAAAGGUCAAGGUCACACUUGGAAGUCAAAGGUCGAUAGGUUUUAUUUAGCUCACCUGAGCAGGGUGAGCUAUUGUGAUCGCUCAGUGUCCAGCGUCCGCCCAGCCAGCUGGCCAUCAUCUGUCCACACUUUCCUUUAAACAGCAUUUCCUCCUAAACCACCAGGCCAUUUUUAGCUCAACUUUUCGAAGAAAAAGUAGAGCUAUUGCACUCACUCCGGUGUUGGUGUCGCCUUUGGUUAAAGUUUUUGAUCAAGUCAAAUAUCUCUGUUACUAUCAAAUCUAUUAACUUGAAACUUUAAAUACUUUUUUUACUAUCAAAGUCUACACCAGGAGAAACAAUCCCAUAACUCUGAUUUGAAUUUUAUAAUAUAUAUGCUGUUCACGAAGUACGUUUAUCAUACAUAUACUGUAACGAGCCAGACGUUUCAGAAAAGUGUAGCACAGAUAUCCGGCCACUAGAAAUAAGUCAGAAAGAAAAUAAUCUUUUGAAUAAUAUUAUUUGGUAAAUGUAUUUCUGAAGUAAUGAAAGUCUUUAAGUGUAUUAUACCAAGAUAAUGAAUAAAAUGAAAUUCACCAGUUCGUGUUUGAACUUUGAAGUCCACCCUUUGCACUGGUAUAAAGUUAAGCGUCAGUUAAUAUCAGGGACCACUGUGGAAUUAAGAGGAUGAAUACUUUCCUUUUUGUUGCAUGGCUUACUUUGUAUGUCAUUGUGUUUGUUAUUUGUUAUAGCAUGUGCAUCUUAUUGAUAAUGCUUCGUUUUAUGUACACUUUUAUAAAAAUAAAUCUAAUCUAGUCCAUGAAUAUUGUCGAAAUUUUAAUCGAAUCAAAUAUUCUGAAUUAAGAUAACUUUUAACACCAGCGGAGCUUAAAACUUUAGUUUUAUUUCCCUGAAAUAAAUAAAUAGUAAGAAGCACAAUUUAACAGUU